GUCUAUGUCCUUUGGCACAGAAUCACAGAGUUGCAGAGAAAAAUAGCAAGGCUGGGGAAGUUUCUGUAAUGUAAAACCUGUGAGGAGUGGCUGAGGGAGCUGGGGUUCUUCCAUCCGGAAAAACAAGGCUCAAGGGAGAGUGACCUUGUUGUUCUGUACAAUUAGAUGACAGAAGGUUGUAGUGAGGCAAUGGUCAGCUUCUUUCUUAGGGAGCUACUGAUAGGACAAAGGAAAAUGGCAUCAAGUUGAACCAGGGAGGUUUAGGUUGAGUAUUAGGAAGGAUUUCUUCACUGAAAGACUGGUAAAGCAUUGGAAGAGGAUCCUGGGGGAGUGGUAGAAUCACCAUCCCAGUGUUUAAGAGUUAUAAAAAAAACAAUGGAUGUGGAACUUUGUAAUGUUUCAGUGGGAAUGGUGGUAUGAAGUCAAAGGAUUACCUGGAGGUCUUUCCCAGCCUUAUUGAUUCUACGAUUCUAUGAAAAGUGCUGAGCCCAAGUGACACCCAGUGACCUGCAAGACAAGCCUUUAUUUUAGAAAUGUAACAUAAACAAAGCUGGAACCUAGAUAAUUCUCUUCCCUUUGCCUUAGAUGCCAGAUUCUGGAAACAGUGAUGUUUUCAAUCCAAAUGAGAAAGAUUGUGCAGGCAAUUGUUUACAGCUUCUGGCCUUGAUGUAUGCACUAUAAAAUGGUGAAAAGAUUAUUAGAUGAAAGCAAUUAUGUUUCCUUCAUAGUCAAUGUACCAUGCUGUCAUUAUUCCUUCUUGGGAAAACGUUUGAACUUUAUGAGAACAUGCUGUGGUUGAAAAUAAUGACCUUGGAUUAAAUAAAGAAAGCAGAGCCCUGUCCA
rnacentral:lncRNA from 1 species